UCCUUCAGUGCACAGGUCCCUCCAG
rnacentral:piRNA from 1 species